GCUAACCUGAGGGCUUGAAAGUUCAUAAAAUUGGAAUUUGGAAAAAGAGGCGGAUCUGAAGAGGGAAGAGAGCGAUCGUGGAAAAAAAAGAAGAAUUUCCAUCAAACUUCAAACUUUUAGACAAUCAGGUACUCAGCAGGAGUAGUUGCUUGUGAGUUAGAAGAUCACCUUGGAGAUUUCUUCGUUUAUUUUCAUAUUUAUCGUUGUUUAAUUGGUCAUUAUGCUUUGAUCUGUAACAUCGGGAACAAAAUAUUUAUUUUGGAUUUGCUGUUUGGAGUUACUUUCAUUGAGUAUUUGUUUUGCAUAAUUAUUUUAUGUUUUGAGAUAUUUUGAAUUCUGUUGUAAAGUUUUUGAAAAAUAUUUUUGAGGUUG